AUGCGGGAGAACAGGAGAAUGAGAUUGAAUUCGAGGAUCCUGGCUUCAGGUUGGCGCAGCCCUGGCUGCUGUAGGCAUUUGGGGAGUACAGGAAACAGAAGAUCUUCUCUCCUAUCCUCCCCUCCCCAUUCCUCCCUUCCCCUCCUCUAUCCUCUCCUUUCUUCUCCUCUCCACUCCUCUCCUCUCCUUUCUUCUCCUCUCCCCUUCUCUUCUCUGAAAAUAAAUAAAAAGAAAGAAGAUGAUAUUAAAAAUACUAAUUUCCCUGUAACAAUGCUCGUAUUUUUAUUUUUAUCUUUGACAAUUUUUGGAAGAAAAUUUAACUUUCAAUUAUUGAAAAUGUUCAGUUCUUGUCAUUUUCUAGGAAGAUUAAAUGUAUUUUUCAUGGAUUUACUGGCCUUUUAGGUUUCUUCUCAUAUAAAAUGAUAUUCAUUUCUUUUGUCUGUUUUCUAUUAAGUUGUUCAUCUUUUUCUUGCUGAUUUCUAAGUGCUUUCUUAUUAAAUCUUCCAUAUGAGUUAUAAACAUCUUGGGGUUAACUCUACCAUAGGAAUCAACAAUAUUGUCUCCCAGUUUGUCUUUUAAUAUUAUUUAGUAUUUGAUAUAUAUAUAUUUGCAUGAUAAAUUUUUAGAGAGACAAAUUAUUCCACCUUUUUCUUUAUGUUUUCUGUACUUCCAUGCACACUUAGAGGGACCGUUCAAAAUUAUUUUUAUAAUUACUUAAUUGUCUUUUAGUAUUGUAAAUGUUUACAUUCACAUUUAAAUCUACAUCAGGUGUGGUUUGAAGCAGAAACCUACUUUUUUAAAUGGAUGACCUUUAUUGGGUAAUCCUUUCUCCUGCCCCUCAGUUGAAAUGCCAUGCAAAAUUCUAUUAUAUUUUGAAUCUAUUACUACUCCAUUUCUUUGAUGCAACACAUGGGGCCUUUCACCUUUACGGGUCAUUCCUUCUCUGUGUAUCCUGCUGUACCACAGGGAAACCCACUCCCUUUCUACACAAAAUGAGGACUAGCCACCUGUUUUUAGAUAUCCUGGAAAAGUAAAGGGUGACAAUACUGAUUAACUAUAGACAUCCACUUAGAUCUAGAUAUUUUUAAAUCAAAGAGAGUCAUUCCAAAGGAACGCCUUCCCUAAGUAAUGGGCUUUAAUCCUAUAGUUUUUACUCUUAGCCAUUCCCAGUUGGAAAACAUCUCCUGUUAAAACACUUGUCUCUCCCUUUAUUAACCCUUCAGUUACAAGGAGAGCCCGUUUCAAAGAAGGUGGGGAGUUGGCCAGAAAAGCAAUGCUGCAUAAUCCAUGUACAUGACAGAGACCUAACCACUGGGACAUUUUGCCCAGCUGUUGCUGUUACUUUAACAGGGUGGAGAAAAAUCCACAUAAGCUAUUGGGCAGUGUAAAUAGGCCUUUGACCCUGCACCAAAGAUCCCUCUCACUCACUGUUGUGAAUCUGUUUCUGGUCAACUUAGUUGGCCCCAGUGCUGCUCUAAUGAGACUGAGGUCAUAGGUUCAAUACCAGUGUGGUCUAAUUACCAAGAAGUCAACUGUUUCAGAGCCUCACCUUGUACUUCUAAACCAUACCAGCAAUUUUGCAUUUGGCCAGCUUUGGUCACACAUGGGAAAACGUGAGAGAGUAAAGAUAAAUCAGAACAAAUCUCCCUCCAUACUGGGGGGUACAUUCAAUGCCCUGCUGUUGGCAGGUCAGUAGCAAGAUUUGGGUAUAAGUAACAACAACACAUUUUCAUAUUGGCACUAGGGCCAUCAGUAAUUGGCAUUUUCUCCAUCCCAUCCUGUGGAGAGGCUGCCAAAAUCCAUUCUCAAAGGGCUUAUUAUUCUAAUGUAGAAGAUAGACAGUGGGGGCAGGGUGGGGAGGGAGAUAGCAUCUGAUGCUUUAACAGUAAUGUUUUCAGUUACCAUUGAUGCCGAGGGGAACUCAAUGAAACAUUAAUGAAGAUAUAACACUUGUUUUAAAUUUCACUAUGAAGUAAAUAAAAACACGUUCAAAACUAUUGGUAGAAUAAAA
rnacentral:lncRNA from 1 species